rnacentral:rRNA from 1 species
GAGUUUGAUCGUGGCUCAGAACGAACGCUGGCGGCAUGCCUAACACAUGCAAGUCGAACGGGAUCCAGGCUUCGGCCUGGUGAGAGUGGCGGACGGGUGAGUAACGCGUGGGAACCUGCCCAAUGGUCUGGGAUAACCGCGGGAAACUGCGGCUAAUACCGGAUAAGCCCGAGAGGGGAAAGAUUUAUCGCCGAUGGAGGGGCCCGCGUCCGAUUAGGUAGUUGGUGGGUAAUGGCCUACCAAGCCUACGAUCGGUAGCUGGUCUGAGAGGAUGAUCAGCCACACUGGGACUGAGAUACGGCCCAGACUCCUACGGGAGGCAGCAGUGGGGAAUAUUGGACAAUGGGGGCAACCCUGAUCCAGCAAUGCCGCGUGAGUGAUGAAGGCCUUAGGGUUGUAAAGCUCUUUUGGCGGGGACGAAUGAUGACGGUACCCGCAGAAUAAGCCCCGGCUAACUUCGUGCCAG